GCCCGCAACCAAGGUACAUGCCCUUGACUGGAAUUGAACCCAGGACCCUUCAGUCCGCAGGCUGACGCUCUAUCCACUGAGCCAAACUGGUUAAGGCAAUUUUCCUAUUUUUUAAAUAGAAAAUGGAAUAACUUAGUAGUUUCAAUAUUGAAGACUGAAGUUUUUAAAACAAUUAAAUUCAAGGCACUUUUUCAGAAUUCACAGAAAAGCAUGUAGGCUUUCUGAAUUGUCAAGUAAUGAAGUAGAUGAUAACUGCGUGUGCAUGUGUGUGGCCUGAAAAUACUUCAGAGACUGUUCUCUACACACCACAGUAAAAUGGCUUGCCUGGAGUACCAGGGAGUCAUGUGAUCACUGCUUACAUAUGUAAUCUAUGUGCCUGUAUAUCUGUACACAGGCAGUGAACUCCACAGGCCAUCUGGGAGAGGUAGGGCCUUUUGGAAAGAUGAGCUUUUGAAUAGAAGUAUUCUGCUCGGUUAUGUUAUGUAUUGAACUAACAGAGACAUGCAGAGACUACUGAUGUAUUUAAAGCCUUUUGGCUGUUACUGUGCUUUAAGAGCUCAACAAUUCCCAGUGCUCACAUUUCUGCAGGGCUCCCUUUUCGCUUUGCCUUCAUGUUGAGGGAAAGCACACUUACUGAGAUUUGCCUUUUCCUCCCUGUCAGAUAGAUAUUAAGAGACUAAGAUAAUUUACAGAGUAAAGAUUUCAGUCCUCCAGUGGAAAAUGAGAGCAGGAUGCUCUUCAGCCCUGUUAUUUUUAAAAAAUAUUUUUGUUGAUUUCAGAGAGGAAGGGAGCAGGAAAGAGACAAACGUCAAUGAUGAGAGAGAAUCAUCGAUUGGCUGCCCCCUGCAUGCCCCACACUGAGGAUCGAGCCUGCAACCUGGGCAUGUGCCCUGACUGGGAAUUGAUGCUCAACUACUGAGCCACUCCACUGGGCUUUGUUGAGCACCUUUAAAAAGUAACAGCAGAAUCAUAAAAGUCAGAUGGACGUGCAUGGUGAAUCAUAUCUAAAACUUCAUUUCCUGGUUUACUUUCAGGGGAACUGUUUGGGAAAGCUAUUAGGUAACUUAAAAUACUGUCUCAUUUUCAGUCAUACCCUAUGAUCCAGCAAGCUGAUGUUCUGUCUUCUAAGAUACUCAUAGUACAUAUUAAAAAACCUAUAAGAUCCUGGUAGUUUUCACUUAAUUCUUCAUUUGUGAAACAUUUACUUUCCUGUUGUAAGUGUGAAGUUUUUAGGGUGUUAGUAAAAGUCUGUCAACUAUCAAAAGAGGUGUGUUAUGCAUGUGUGUCAAAACAUCAACACUCUACAGUGCUUUACUUUUACUGUGGGAAAGGAAUACUAAAUGGUAGGUAGUUGAAAUUUUACCCUUAAAACGCAGAAGGCAUAUGAACUCUAUCUCCCUAUCUGCAGUAACAUCAUCUGAUAAUGUAAUGGCACAGUAUUUUAUCUACUAAGUUAUAAAGUUACCGUAACAUCUUAGAACAUUAACCAUACAUGGAAUAUUGCCUAAACUCUGGAAAAAAGUAGAGUUAUCACAAGGUGCAUUUUAGCUAAAGUUCUGGACUUAAGUAAAAGGUGAUCUUUUAUUCCUGCUGGUGUUGGUGAGUAUGAGCUUACCUCGUGCCCCUUUCCCUGGACUGCCAGGGUAAUGUUUUGGGAAAGCAAGGUGAAGUUCACCUGUGUUUCGUGAAGCCGCGCUGUUUGCCGGUGUGUGUGCUUACAAUAGUGAGUACUUCUGCUCUCAGAUGCUUUUGGAACACGUUCUGAGAAACAUGUGAUGUCUCAGUUUGACAGGGAAAGAAUGAAUGCUCUGGAGUUCCUGCUUCCUGCUAGUCGUACUUUCGGUGAGUCCAUAUGAAAAACCUGAUAAGGUCCUUAAUUGUUCAUUAGUAAAACAUUUAUUUUCCUAUUGUAAUGCACAACUUAGUGGUAAUUCCACGUGAGCUUCUGACGCCCCCGCCAGAAGGUUCUUGUUCGUGUGUGUGUGUCUUUGGUAUUGCGCACAAAAUUCUGGGCCCAUAUUCACAUAUUUUUAUUAAGCGAUGCGAUUUAGUAGCGUCAUCGUAAUGUAAAUAAUGGUACCCCCAAGGCUCAUGAACACCAAACCCUACAGUCUGUGUGACGGCCUUGCUUCUGGGACUGCGAGGGCCCUCGGCUCACUCCUCUCCUGCUGCUUGACUUUGCACACGGCACAGAAAGAGCAAGGAAUUAGGUCCUGGGAGGCCUGGGUCCUGGUGCCUUUACUCAGCACCGGUGUGAUACUGUCAGCCUGAUUUGGGCCUUGUUCCUCUCAUGUAAAAUAAUGGGCUUGGACAGAGGAUCUUAGGUGCCAACUCUAGCACAUUAGGGAUUUAUCUGUUAUUAACUAAAAUGAUGGUGGAUAAAUGCAGGCCGAUGCUCUAACCAUUGAGUAAAACCAUCCAGGGCGGCAUGGGUAUAUUUUCAAAGAUUCCCAGGUGACCCUACUGUGCUUCCAGGGCUGAGGGCCAUGAACAGCCCUGUAGCGACGGAGAGGGACCAGCCAGAGAAGCUGGAGUGCCCUGUCGCCUCUGUGCAGGGCUGCUUGGGUGGGUGACAAGCACACAGUGGCGUGCAUCCACCGUUAGAGUAUCAGACGGAUGGGUUCACUGCCCUAAGAAUCCCCUGUGCUCCACCUAUUCAUCCCUGGAAACCACAUCCUUUUAUUGUCUCCAUAGUUUUGUCUUUUUCCGGAAUGUCAUAUAGUUGGAAUCAUAGCGUAUGUCAGAUUAGCUUCUUUCAUGUAGGAACAUGCAUUGGAGGUGUCUUUUCAUGGCUCAUUUCCUUAGCACUGAACAGUAUUCUAUUGUCCGGAUGCAGCCCCAAGGCUCAACGACCUGUUUCCCUUUUUCUGCAAUGGCCUUCAUUCAAAAGUUAAUCCCCAUGAAAAGCUCUGUUCCCUCAUCCAGAAAACCUCUGGUUUGCCUCCAUUACCAUAAGUAAACAGGGUGGGGGAGAAAGCAGUUUUACAGUUAUUAGGAAAAUAAUACAAUAAGCCCUAGCCAGUUUGGCUCACUGGAUAGAGCAUCGGGCUGGGGACUGAAGGGUCCCAGGUUCGAUUCCCGUCAAGGGCAUGUACCUUGGUUGCAGCUGAUCGAUGCUUCUCUCUCAUUGAUGUUUCUAACUCUCUAUCCCUCUCCCUUCCUCUCUGUAAAAAAUCAAAAUAUAUUAAAAAAAAUACAAUAAUUAAUAAUACAAGAAACUUGCGUACUCAAGACUGUAAAGCUAUAUUUGCCAUACCCUGUAUUUUCUCUAAAGCCACUAGGUGGCAGUAUUUAUAUGCUUUUCUCCCUCCAGGCACUGCUGAAAACAGGAUUGAAGUAAAAGAAUGGUUCAGGGUAUGGGAAGGACUUAAAGGAGCCCCCUCUCCUCCCCCAACCCCACCCCUGUCCCUGCCCCACUGCACACACACAUUACUAGUACUGAACCUUUUUUUGUUCAUUUGACAAAGGACGUUCUUUUUUAAAAUUUUAAACGUUUCUUUUUAUUUUGAAACAAUCUCAAAUUUAUAUAAAAGCAAUUAUAAAAAACAAGAACCCUUGUUUUUUCAGACUUUUUUGAGGGUCCAUGGCCCAUAGGAUGCCCCAUCACUGCCAAGUACUUUGUAUCUCCUGCAAAAAAGGGUAUUCUAGUACAUAUGUCCUAGGCAGCCUUCAAAAUCAGGAACUUACAUAUUCUAUCCUGUAAUUCUCAGAUACCAUUCAAUAACUGUCCCAAUAAUGCCCUUUAUAGCAAAAGGAUCCCAGUCCAGAAUCACCACUGUGCUUAGUUAUCAUGUCUCCUGCCGUCGAUGCUGCCGUGUGUGGUUAGAAGGUCCCCACAUCACAGACGCUGUGCGAACGGUGGUACGGGGGGAAAACACUCUUUUCUUUGUUUUGUGCCUCCGAUAUAUCUGGCCUGGGUAGUUAGCCUACAUGCACAGUCUUGUAAAGGCUCCAAGCGGAAAGCUCUAAAUCUGCCAGAGGUGAGUCUGUGGUAUGCCGAUUUCCAUUCGCCCUUACUAGUUCUUUUUCUUAGUCAUCUGAAAAAUAAUUCCCUUUAGGCCAGAGCUCAUUUUUCAUGCUCUUUUUUCAAAUUCUUUGUUCUGACUUAUUUAGGUUAUGGGGAUGGCAUCCUCAGUUUUCAGAGGUUUUAGAGAAAAGCCUGUGUGGGUGUCAACCAGGAUGUAGAUGGAUUUUGUUUUUUCCCCUUCCUGCCCAUGAGUUUCUUCCCACAAGCAGGUAAUCAGAUAUGUGUAGGUUAUAAUUCUUAUUUCUUUAAAUAUUUCAUUUGCUCCUUUCAUCUCUUUCUUUUCCUGGGAAAAGUCACUGCUCUCUAAGCUUCAGUGUGAUGCUGUCUAGUUUAGACGGCCCGGGUCAGACGGCCAUUCCUCUGUGCUCUGUCUGCCCCCCUGUCCUGGUACUUAUAAGUGGCUUUUAGAUCUAUUCUCUCCAUGAAGCUUUGAGUUUCUUCAGAGGAGGAGUCAGGUCUUGAUUCAUUUUGUUACCCUUACAGCUUAUCUCAGGGCUUGGAUUUAGCCCAUGGUCAGUUUAAAAAGGGAAACACUGGCCCGGCCGGCGUGGCUCAGUGGUUGAGCAUUGACCCAAGAACCAAGAGGUCCCAGAUUAGAUUCUCGGUCAGGGUACUUGCCUGGGUUGCUGGCUCGAUCCCCAGUAGGAGGCGUGCAAGAGGCAGCUGAUCCAUGAUUCUCUCUCAUUGAUGUUUCUAUCUUUCACUCUCCCCUCCUCUCUCUGAAAUCAAUAAAAAUCUAUUAAAAAAUAAGUAAAAACACUGGUGAGCAUUAUUGCAGGUAUCCUUAAUGGCCUACAACUUGCACUUCAAGGGUCCACCUGUCUUUGUGUUGAAGUGGACCUAAAAUUGUCCUCUGGGGAAGAGGGUGGCUCUGCCUCCUGCUGUCCCUUGGGCCACCUCCCUGCGGAUCGAGCGGCCUUCUGCUCAUGCGCAUUGUGGUUGACUGCCCUCAACCCAGCUGUGAGGAAGGUGUGUGGACCUGCCUGGAACUUGCAGAAUAGAAUUUGCACUUCAGAUGGUUGUCAAAGUAAAACCUCAAACUCUCUGCUGACCAAUGUUCAUAAAGAUCAAGAAAAAGUCUUUGUAGAAGUCUGUCCGAAGCAUACCUGCUUGGUACAUGGCAUGGAUCCUUCCUCAGGGUGGAGUCUGCUCUCUCAUCCUCAUUCUCCUCGUGUUGAGAAUCAUGACGACAAAGGCGGUGCCGUCCGCCUGUUCUCUGAAAUUUGUGAGGUCCUCUUCCUCUCUCCUUCCCCUCCUCCUUCUGGUACAUCAACAGGAAAAUGUCCCCUCAAAUUAUAGCAUCAGUUCAUCUAUGUCCUGAGCAGCUGGUUGGUUCUCAGAUAAGAUUACGAAAAGUCUGACUUGUGUGACUUCCAAGUUUGUAUUUUUAUGUGUGUGGACCCCCAGAAAGCUAGUCUCUGCCAGCUCCCAGGCAUGUACAAGGUUGGUCAUUACUCCGUUGCCUGCAUAACCGUGGGGUUACUGGUCAUUUCCUGCGCUAGACCACCAGGCAGAGCCCAUGGCGCGCAUUGCAUCCGCAGGACCCACUGCACUGCCCGUGUGCUUGAUAAGUGUGGGUUGAAUAACUGAAUAUGUCGAAUCAGUGUGAUACUUUCUAUUUUCUUUACUGCCAUGAUGUGAGAGCCUCACAUUAUAAAACCUCUGCUCAGAGAGCCACAGGCAAUGGUAUUAUUGCAUAAAAACCUAUCCAUGUAAAAAUACAUCGCAAGACUAAAUUUCAUGCCUGCAAGAUGUGGGCCAGGGGGACCAGCUUUUGUCAUGAUUUAGCAAUGAUCUGAAAUGUUCCUGCUCUGCCAAUUUGUCAGAAAAUCAGACAAGAAGAUUUCAGAGAAAUGGUAAGACUAGAUAAGGAAACCCAUUGUGUGUGUGUGUGUGUGUGUGUGUGUGUGUAAGUGAAAGUUUAGGAGACUCCGUUGAGUGUGUUUUUUUAAACAUAAAUGAUUUAUUUAUUAUAUUUAAUGUAAAUAUGUAAAAACUCAAACCUAUAUAAAAACAAUUUUUACAGAUCUUAUACAACUAUAAAAUCAAAUACAUGUAUCAUUUAAUGCAAACAAAAUUCAAAGACAUAAUUCAAAUGAACCCCGCCCCCCCCCCCCCAUGUUCUCCUUGGCAGGCUUCCCCACUAUUCCCUGAGGCCAUCCAACUCUCCUAACUCUCUCCUUUACUCAAAUAUUGCAAAAUAGACAUUCCUCUGCCAUCUGCAAUGCAGUAUACCUCUUACCACUGUGGGGUUAAAAAUGCCUCAUCGAUCUAGUCAGCUCGUUUCUGGCUUACCACCAACUUAAAGUGGUACUGCCUGGCGGCCAUGUCAUCAGUAAGCGCACUGCUAAGGAAAUUGUUCUGUUCUCCUCAGACGUAAGGCAGGCUUCCACAUCGCCCAGGAAGCGAAGUUUCCAUUAAAAUGUUUAUAUUACUACUGAGGUAAAAUUUUACUAAUUUGUGUAGAAAAACUUGAGAGUAUUCAAAAAUAUAUCAGAGGACUGUGGUUAAAAACAUUUGGAGAAAUAGCCCUGGCUGGGUGGCUCGGUUGGUUGGAGCAUCGUCCAGUGUAGCCAGUGGUGUCGGGUUCGACUCCUGGUCAGGGCAUAUACCUAGGUCUUGGGUUCCAUCUCUGGUUGGGGUGGGUAUGGGCGGCAACCAACUGAUGUUUCUCUUGCACAUCUAUGUUUCUCUCUCUCUCUCUCUCUCUCUCUCUCUCUCUCUCUCUCUCUCUCUCUCUCUUUUUGUCUCCCUCCCUCUUUCCCUCCCCACCUCUUUCUCUAAAACCAAUAAAAACAUAUGCUUGGGUGAGGAUUAAAAAAUAUUAGGAGAAAUAGUUACUUAUUGCCUAUUCAUUCAGACCCAAAUAAUCCAAUUGAUAUUAUUUCUUUGUGAGUGUGUGCAUGUGGGGUGUGUGUGUGUGUGUUGCGGGGGAGAAAGGAGGAGGAGAGAAGAGAGGAGUUAUUUUUUAAAUAUAAUUGUUUAAGCUGGCCCUUAAUUAAAAAGAUAUGUUUCUAUUAAUUUCAGAGAGAGAAAGGGAGAGGGAUAGAUAGAAACAUCAGUGAUGAGAAAGAAUCAUUAAUUGGCUGCCUCCUGCACACCCUCCACUGGGGAUCGAAUUGUGAUGCUCAACCACUGAGCCACAUUGGCCAGGCUGGUCCUUAAAUUUUGAUGGUGACAUAAUCUCUUUUGGGAUCUUUGAGGAGGAUCAGACUGUAUGCUUGCCUCUGACUGUUUUUAAGAUUUUUAACAUGAAGUUGGACUUCUUGAGAUGAAAGGUACAAUGUAGUUCUGGUAAGUAAAUAUAAGAAUUUGAGAAUGCAUGUCUUGGGCAAAUCCCAAGACUAUUGCUUUUUAUUUUCCACUUAAGUCAAAUAUUUUAAAAUUUUCUUUGGAGAUGGUGCUUACCAUUUUGUUAUAUACUAGACUAUUCGUUAUAUAUUUUACCUAAAACUUACUGAUGUUUGUUUAGAUGAUAAUAAAUAGGUUUAUUAUCUGUUUCCAGUGUUUAGUAAUUGUCAUGAAGCAAACCUCAGUUAAAAUGUUUUAUUUUCCUGACUUUACACAAAUGUUUUCUGAAGUAUUCUGUGGAUUCUUCAAAAAUACAGUAUAUACUUUACUACUGCCAAAGAAUGUAUUUGUCUUAAAUUUGAGUUUUUGAACUCUAACAUCUGUGAACACUUGAAAUGGAAUUAUGUUUCAAAAUCUAAUUAUGAAAUUAAUGUAGAAUGUACAUCUUGAAAAUGUAUGAGAGCCUCAAUAUUUAGAUGGCUGUAUUAAAUUCAAUUUCAUGUUUUAUUUUCUGGUUUUAUUUAUAGAGAAGUUCUCGUGGUUUACGAAUAAAACAUGUUAGAUAUUAAUUAGCAAAAUACACAAAUGUUAAAAUUUAGUUUUUAAAUUUAAUUCUGCCUUUGAGAAACAGCAAAAGUAUUAAAGUCAGACCAUCAUAUAAAACUUUUAUAUGUGAACAUGAAUUUCUACUUCACAUUCCAAAUCUGUGACGAUUUGGGACACACAUUAUUAUUUGACUAGAGGCUCAGUGCACAAAAUUUGUGCAUGGGUGCCAUCCCUAGACCUGGCUGGUGAUCAAAGCACGAGUGCCUGGCAUGGGAGGGCAGGUCCCAACUGGCCUCUGGACCCUGGGCAGCACCUGGGUCCCUGGCCUCUGCACGCACCCCUCCUCCUGAAUCAUGGCGUCUGAGUCCUCACAUGGAGCACAGCCGGAUGCCGCAGGCCAGGGCGUAGCGUGGGCCUCUGGGCCACCCCGCAGUGCUGCAUGGAAGCCAGGUGGGCAGCAUGCUCUCUCCUGGCUAGCCUUACAGACCCACUCCUGCCCAGGGCCCCUGUGCUCCCAGCAGCUGUGGCCCAGCUCACCCAGAAGGCGCUGCAUGGGUGUGGGGUGAGCUCCUCGCAGGCGCCGGCACCUGAGCACGGUGGCUUCCCUGGUGCAUGGGAAGGGUAGCAGGGGGGGUGAGAGUGAGCUUGGCGGACACCCGGCAUUCUCACUGCACCUCCUUCCCUGUAACCCCCGUCCCCAGGUAGCCAGUGAGAGGUUGCAGUGCAUUGCUGACACCCGCCAUGUUCCACGCUGCCCCCUGGUGGUCAGCACAUGUCAUAGUGAGCCAUCAAACUCCUGGUUGAACUCCCAGUUGAGGGAACAAUUUGCAUAUUAGGCUUUUAUUAUAUAGGAUUAUUUUUAGUUUUCAACCAGAUGUUUGGCAUUGUGUAAGCCUGGCCCUAGCAUAACAUGGCUAAUGGACAUUGACUCUGCCAUUGUGCUGAGCGCAGUGUCAUUCCUGUUUACUUCAGUUUUGCUCACUAGUUUUAUUGGGGCUUUUAAAAUUCCACCCUAAAACUUUCCCCCAAAGCAUUUGAGUUUUACUGUCAAAGGGAGAGACCAUUAAUAUAAUUUUGGUAAAGUGUCAUCCCCUCAAACACUGAUUUUUCCCCCCUCCUAGUUAAGAUUAUGUUAAUAGGCUGUAUUUGCAUGUAUGCGUACUUGCCAUUAUACAAUGCUUAUUGUCCAUAUCACUACUUAAUUUGUUGACACAUUUUAUAGUAUGCAAAUACAAACUUAAAAAUCAUGUUAGAAGUUUCAGUUUGCAUUUUACAUUUUUCAAGGUGUUUAUUUGGGUGUGUAAACAAACAGGUACACCCAGUUAAACAUUCAGUGACAAACAUCUUGUUGAGCCAUGAGACUGAAGGUUGGUCCCAAUUGAGGAUGAAUCAGGGUGUUUUAGUUGAAAAAAAAAUCCCAACUCACACUGGCUUAACUAAGGAGGAUAUUGAAUGGCUCAUGUUACAUAAAUCCAAGGAUGUGGUGGGCCGGUCCAACCACCCAGUGUGGACGUCAAGGAUUUUCUAUCUGUAGUCUCUGACAUCCGCAAUAUGAACUUCAUGCAAAGGCUCAUUUUCUGAGUAGUUGUGGUUUGGCUGCUACCCAGCCAGGGCACCAUGCCCUCCAAAGGGUCUCAGUCCACGGACAGAUGGACAGAUGUCUGUGGGAUUACAGUUUUAUGGGAGAAGCAAUUAGGAAAAGAACAUUCUAAAAAGGCUUCUUGUGGGAAGGGUGGUAAUAGAGGGAAGGUGGAUAAAAAUAGGUAAUCUCAAAGCUGAGGAAGAGGGGUUUUGGCCAGAGAUAUCUGGAAAGUGGUGACGUUCCUGUAUGGCCCAAAGGUUCCCAGUUGAGGGGUGAACGGGGCAGAUCAGCUGCUCUGUGGCUCAGCCCUGAGCCUUGCCCACCAUGGCAGGACCCUCUUCACUUUGCCCACGGCAACACAGAGACUCCUGGAGCCCCUCGUCCUGGCAGCCCUGCCUGCUCCUGCUGGGGUCUGAGCUGGCAUGUAGACAGGUUAGGACUAAGCACAGAAAGCGAUGGAAAAGUGAAAAAAACAACUGGCCAUCUUAGCAGCUGAACUGCCUCUGUGCCAGAAUGUUUCCCCUUCUGUACCGGAGACACCAGCUGGAAGCUGUCUGCUACCUCUUCCUAAUCCCGGAGUUCCCCUUUCUGAAGCUGACUGCUGGGCUAAGGGCUUCUCUGGGGUCAGAAAAGGCCGGUCAGCACCACUCUCACAGGACUGCAUUCGAUGAAAAGAAGAAAAUCAUUGUCAAGGAGAAUGAUUAGUAGUCCUGGUUUUAGCCAUUUGCAAAGUCCAAUAAAAAGCAAAUUCCAAAGCAGUAAUGUGUUUCAAAUGUGAGUGUUAACAGCUGUGCUCUCACUUCUUUACAGAGUAUAAAUGUACAAUUCCAAGCCUUUUCUUUGUGUUUAGAAAAAACUCUACCUUCACCUCAAUGCUCUGGCCAUACCACCUAGCUUGCUAUUCCAAAUUUACAC